UUUAUGUUUGGUGUUUUGUAAUGCUCAAUCUCUUGUUUUAUGGUUGGUGUUUUGUAAUGCUCAAUCUCUUGAUUUAUGUUUCGUGAUUUGUAAUGCUCAGUCUCUUGUUUAUGUUUGGUGCUUUAUGAUGCUCAAUCGCUUGUUUUGUGUUUAGCUAUUUGUGAUGUUCAAUGUCCUGUUUUAUGUUUGGUGAUUUCUGAUGCUCAAUCGCUUGGUUUAUUGUUGGUAUUUUGUAAUGUUCAAUCUCCUGUUUUAUGUUGGUGUUUUGUGAUACCCAAUCUUUUGUUUUAUGUUUGGUGAUUUGUGAUGCCCAAUCUCUAGAUUUAUGUUUAGUGAUUUGUAAUGCUCAAUCUCUUGUUUUAUGUUUGGUGUUUUGUAAUGCUCAAUCUCUUGUUUUAUGUUUGGUGUUUUGUAAUGCUCAAUCUCUUGUUUAUGUUUGGUGUUUUGUGAUGCUCAAUCUCUUGUUUUGGUUUUAAUUAUUUGUGAUGCUCAAUAUCCUGUUUUAUGUUUGGUGAUUUGUGAUGCUUAAUCGCUUGGUUUAUAUUUGGUGUUUUGUAAUGUUCAAUCUCUUGUUUUAUGUUUGGUGUUUUGGGUGCCCAAUCUUUUGUUUUAUAUUAGGUGAUUUGUGAUGCUCAAUCGCUUGUUUUGUGUUUAGUUAAUUGUGAUGUUCAAUGUCCUGUUUUAUGUUUGGUGGUUUGUGAUGCUCAUUCGCUUGGUUUAUGUUUGGUGUUUUGUAAUGUUCAAUCUCCUGUUUUAUGUUUGGUGUUUUGUGAUGCCCAAUCUUUUGUUUUAUGUUUGGUGAUUUGUGAUGCCCAAUAUCUUGUUAUAUGUUUAGUGUUUUGUGAUGGUCAAUCUCUUGUUUUAUGUUUAGUGUAUUGUAAUGCUCAAUCUCUUGAUUUAUGUUUGGUGAUUUGUGAUGC
rnacentral:lncRNA from 1 species